UGGAGUGUGAGCAGAAGGGGAGGGCACACUGGGGGUUCUGUUUCAGAGCUGGGUAUGAAGCUGGGGAAUUGCACUUGGAGAAUGGAGGGACAUGUAAAAACCAAUUAGCCCGCUUAGUUCCCUGGUCAGAGUGUAAUGUUAAAUCUUGAAGUCGUUUCUCAAGAAAGAUCUUUGAAUUAAACAUGAAAUGAUAAAUUGAUGAAUUAUAACAGAUCUAGGUAGAAUUUAUCCACCCCCAUCCCUACCCCCUUUUUGGGUAGAUAACAGAAAUGUGCAAUUCACUGUACUAUGGAGACUGGAAGGUCUACUACAUUUAUUGCUGUGCCAGUUCUCCUUAUAAGUUGUUGUUGCUGCUUUUGUUUUAUUUAUUCUGUCUAUGGGUGUGUUUGUUUUCUGUUUGUUUUUCUGUCUUUCUAGGUAGCCUUAGCUGGCCUGAUACUUGCUAUGUAAUCCAAAUUGGCUUUGAACUCCUAGCAAUCCUCCUGAGUUAACUCUCCGUGUGCUGGGAUUACAGGUGUGUGCGACCACAUCUGUAUUAUCUUGUCCUUAUUAUUCAGCCCUUGUUCUUGUAUAUUAAUUUAUUUUGUUUUUUUUUAUUUGCAUUUUUGAGGCUCUGACAAAAUGCCUGGGAGAAACAACUUAAGAGAAAAGGGUCUAUUUUGGCUCAUGUCAAAGGAUCCCAACUACGAUGGUGAGGCAGAUAUUGUGGUAGAAGUGGCUGAGUUAAGUUCUUAGUCUGUGUUGAUGUGAGUACCAAGCAGAUGGUCACUUCAUGAGGAGAAAACAGGGAGCUAGACUGGAUCCAGCGGUAUGUAUGGGAAGCUGCUUCUGUUUGCAAGGCCACAUAUUCCUAGUUCACAGCCUCAUACAACAGUGCCACAAGCUGGUGAGUUUUCAAAUACGUGCACUCCCAGGAACAUAAUAUAUGGAAAUAAUCUUGCAUCUCCUCACUGGUAAUCUUUGUCCGGGUGAACUGGAAGGGUCCUUAGAGUAGGAGUGAGCUGGAUUGCUAAACAGAGUUCCAUUAUUCUCCUAUCAGAUCAAUAAAUUUUCACUUGUUCUGAGGUACUAUUUAUGGAUUAGUAAAAUACCCACAAUAACAUCUACAGACAGAAAGGUAUAGGAAAAACACUCCAACAAGGCAAUUUAUAGCUGACCUAUGUUUUUCUAAUAAUGUUUUCUCUCCUCUCUUCAUCCUGGAAAUCCACGUGUCUCAGUUGCUCUCAAUCACUGCCACGAGUCUGGUGAUGCGCUAAGCUCGGGGCAGGAUCUCAAGGGCUUUGAGUAUUCCUUGUGUCUGGAGAAUUGAACUCAGCCUAUUAGGGUUGGUGGCAAAGGAAUAGUUAUAAACAGACCACCCCCCCCCCAAGCGACCACAUGUAACUCAUUGAUUUUGGCAGGAUGUCUGCAUCAUCUGUAUUGACCUGCUCCCCAGAUUAAUACCGAAGCACUGCAAUUUCUUGAGGAUUAUCCACCUAGGAGGAAAUGAUACGCUGGCCCAUCCAUAGUAGUCAAGUAUAUUUUUGUUUUAUC
rnacentral:lncRNA from 1 species